CUCACUAUUUCUGCACGUGCGAUUGAUUGCGACUAAACCUCGUGGUUGAAAUUCAACUCUGUGGAGAAACUCCAACAUGGUGGCUUGUCCUUCCAGCCUAAGCGACUGAUGUCUCAACUCUUAAUUGACAACACAAACCAGCGAGAUUGAUGUGACCGACUGCUGAAUGUGCCAGCAGAUACACAGCACUAGAUUACUAACAGAAGCACUCAAAUAAACAAAUGUCUUUCACAUUUCAACUCUUAGUGACAACACAGCGAGACUGACUACUGCAUGCGUAUGUGGAGGUGCAAUACAAGCUCUAUAUCAUUAUAUAUGGACUGAACAGUGCAGUGUUGGAAGCAAGCACAUGUUAGACAAGUCUUAACUCUGCAAGAGUGUACUGGAGCUAGGUUGUUUCCCAAGGGGUAGUCACUCCAAUGCCAUUGAAAUUUGUAAACAAGAGUCUCUACAGUAUGAUGGGAGUUCAAUGAAGUUUUGGAUAACACCUGCAUGUCUUGUUGUUAUUGUCUGUUGGUCACCACCUGGGCACUCCCCUGGACUCUGAGACAACCCUCAGUUGUGAGAAACUGAUGAAAUAAUAAUGGCCUGUUGCUUGCAAGUUCGUUUCCCGUUUCUAUGCUAUCAAGAUCGUGACAGAAAUUAAAGUAGUGUGACUGUCUCUCUUCCUUCGACUGAGCUCUGUACGUAUCAGGUGGAUGAUUUUGAUCCCAUAUUCUCGUCACGGAAGAAGCUGCUCCCUAGACACAGUGACUUGAGCUUCUAUAACUGGGACACUAACUUCUCCUCGUCCAACUCCACUCCUAAUUAUCAGGUACGUGUGAGAAAUAUGAAGUACGUGGGUAUAAUAUAUAAGAGGUGGUUGCCAAAAUAUGUAUUAAUUACAUGUCGUCAUGUUUUCGUAGUUUUUCUUUGAAGGGCUAUAACUUGUGUUGGGAACGUCCAAUUUCAAAAAGCUAAUUAUUUUAUUAGUAGCUGUUUGGUAGUGCUACAAUAAUAUUAUGGUGUCCUUAUAUC